CUAAUCCAAGAACCUAUGGGAGUUUCGAGGUCAUUAUAUAAAACCCGCAGUGCUGCCUGGCGAACGCCAGCCCGGGAGCCACACCCACAGCCAGUGAGAGGAGUGCUGGCUUGGAGCCAGCUGCAAACGUCCGGAAGGAGGUGACUCAAAAAAAAAUAAAGAAUCAGGACCAGAUCGGUGUUUCUUUCCAAAAGAAAGUGGCCCUGCAUUCUCCACCCAGACUCAAGGAACCCCAACGUACAAAUAAAGAUGCUGAGGAAUGUUCCAGCAAA